rnacentral:rRNA from 1 species
UACGUAGGGUGCGAGCGUUGUCCGGAAUUAUUGGGCGUAAAGAGCUUGUAGGCGGUUUGUCGCGUCUGCCGUGAAAACCUGGGGCUCAACCCCGGGCCUGCAGCCGAUACGGGCAAGCUAGAAUUCGGUAGGGGAGACUGGAAUUCCUGGUGUAGCGGUGAAAUGCGCAGAUAUCAGGAGGAACACCGGUGGCGAAGGCGGCGUUCUGGACUGCAACUGACACUGAUGAACGAAAGCCAGGGGAGCAAACGGG